UAUUCUGUAGCAAGGUUAACCGAAUAGGGGAGCCGGAGGGAAACCGAGUCUUAAUUGGGCGUUAAGUUGCAGGGUAUAGACCCGAAACCCGGUGAUCUAGCCAUGGGCAGGUUGAAGGUUGGGUAACACUAACUGGAGGACCGAACCGACUAAUGUUGAAAAAUUAGCGGAUGACCUGUGGCUGGGGGUGAAAGGCCAAUCAAACCGGGAGAUAGCUGGUUCUCCCCGAAAGCUAUUUAGGUAGCGCCUCGUGAAUUCAUCUCCGGGGGUAGAGCACUGUUUCGGCUAGGGGGCCAUCCCGGCUUACCAACCCGAUGCAAACUGCGAAUACCGGAGAAUGUUAUCA
rnacentral:rRNA from 1 species